GCGGCAUAACUUGAGUAACUCAUCGAACAGGCACGCCGAUCUUUAAAAGGCAUUCUGAACUUUGAUGCUGAGGCCUGAUCCAUGCUAGCUCCUGCGGCGGCGGCGGCGAGGGCGAGGGGAGCGAGGGAGCGAGAGGGAGCGAGCGAGGGGCAGACACGGUGUGCCUUGUGCUGGCAGUCCGUGUUCUUGUGACGGUGCUCGGGCCUGCACGCACGGGGUCUGCUCGCCAGCCGUGGUUACUGGUGAUGAUGAUGAUGGUUGUGGCGACGUAGCGACGAGUCUCUCUCUCUCUUACAUCUCUUCAUGGUUGUGAUAGUCAGCGCUCGAUCCAAGAAGGAACCACGCCUCCGCCCAGCAUCCCAAGAAGACCUUAUUUUGAUAAAGGCGUUAGCGAGUCGUAGAGAAAACUGCCCUGCUUAUCCCCCUUUGUUGGCUCCUCUUCUUACUCGUCUACUUCUUCGACUUCUUCGAUUUUUUGUAGCGUGUCUAUAAAAUAUAAAUAUAUAUAUGUAUGUGUGGGUGUGUGUAAAAUAGAAUAAGGAUUACCGUAGCUACUGAAGUCAGAAUACUAUUUGCUUUUGGAAAAAAAAGAAACUUUCUCUAUAUAAUCCUUUCCUUUUGGGUUCCGAUAGUUUUCUCUUUUUUGGAUGUAUACGAUUUGAUUCUCUUUGGUAGGUUAGCCGAUCAAUGAUAACACAACACGAAUCCAGCGCGCGCGCAGAUUCAAACGUCGUCACUUUGUCACAACAACAAGGCCAGUGACGAGCGUGGUAUAGUGAGUGUGAGGUGGAUUGAAAGAAGGAAAAAGAAAACAAAAAAAAGGUCA